rnacentral:rRNA from 1 species
UACGUAGGGUGCGAGCGUUGUCCGGAAUUAUUGGGCGUAAAGGGCUCGUAGGCGGUUUGUCGCGUCGGGAGUGAAAACAUCCAGCUUAACUGGGUGCUUGCUUUCGAUACGGGCAGACUUGAGGUAUGCAGGGGAGAAUGGAAUUCCUGGUGUAGCGGUGAAAUGCGCAGAUAUCAGGAGGAACACCGGUGGCGAAGGCGGCGCUCUGGGCUGGAACUGACGCUGAGGAGCGAAAGCGUGGGUAGCAAACAGG